rnacentral:tRNA from 1 species
GUUCUUCUAGUAUAACUCGUACAGGUGACUUCCAAUCACCAGAUCUCAACACAAGACUUGAGGAAGAACA